AUUGAACGCUGGCGGCAUGCCUUACACAUGCAAGUCGAACGGCAGCACGGGAGCAAUCCUGGUGGCGAGUGGCGAACGGGUGAGUAAUAUAUCGGAACGUGCCCAGUCGUGGGGAUAACGUAGCGAAAGCUACGCUAAUACCGCAUACGAUCUAUGGAUGAAAGCGGGGGAUCGCAAGACCUCGCGCGAUUGGAGCGGCCGAUAUCAGAUUAGGUAGUUGGUGAGGUAAAGGCUCACCAAGCCGACGAUCUGUAGCUGGUCUGAGAGGACGACCAGCCACACUGGGACUGAGACACGGCCCAGACUCCUACGGGAGGCAGCAGUGGGAAUUUGGACAAUGGGCNCAAGCCUGAUCCAGCAAUGCCGCGUGCAGGAU
rnacentral:rRNA from 1 species